rnacentral:lncRNA from 1 species
GAAUUUGGAGGAAAGAGACUUCAUUCCAGUGAACAGGUGGCAAACCUGAGAGAUGCAGCAGCCCAUGUAAGACCAAGGAUUGUGAAGAACCCUAGAGAAUACUCGGGUAUGGGAUACGCCAGAAGAGCUAGCCCUUCCCAGCUCACAUCUUGGAAAACAGCGUGUGAACCAAUUAGCACCUCUCAGCCAUGAAGAAAACGUUGAGUCACAGCCUUGUACAUGAGGUUCUCAGAGUGAGAUGGGACCACAUAGGGCCAACCUGCCCAGCCCCUGCCUGCAGGCGGAGAAGGCGUCAUGCCCGUUGCACUGAUGAGGCUACUGAGACAAAAGAGCCUCCAUCUGGAGCAAAGCUAAGCUGGUCUGCACAUCUGCUGGGUCCAGCUGCUUCCUGAGGGUGUCACAGCCUUGGGGUUUCUCCUGGCUCUUCACUCCCUGAUACCCUCUGAGCCAACCUGGUGCGGGGGGAACAAAGGCACAGGAUCCCGACCAUCCCAAGAGCAUUUAGCUUGGUUAGGGCCCCCAGGAUAAGCUGCUCUCAAUUUGAUUCAGGAAGAGCAUGUGUGUGUGGUUUGGUUUGGUUUGGUUUUUUAGAGACAGGGUCCGACUCUGUCGCCCAGGCUGGAGUGCAGUGGUGCCAUCAUAGCUCACUGUUACCUCGAGGUAACAGUGGUAACUCCUGGGCUCGAGAUUCUCCUGCCUCAGCCCUCCAGAGUAGCUAGGACUACAGGUGCAUACUCCCAUGUCCUGCUAAUUUUUUAUUUUUUUGUAGAAACUAAGUCUCUCUGUUGCCCAGACUGGUCUCAAAAUCCUGGCCUCAAGCAAUCCUCUCCCCUCAGCCUCCAAUCCUCCAAUCCUCAAUCCCAAAGUGAUAGGAUUAUAGGCGUGAGCCACCACACCUUGCCAUGUGUGUUUUUAUUAGCACUGGCAUGGAGAUUAAGUUCCAUCCAGACCACCGCUGUGCAGUGUGGGAGGCAGUGUGGCAUAGUAGGAACUGUGCUAGACUGGCCUGGGUGUCAGUUUCUAUUCUUCCCUUUGCAAGUUACACAGGUGACCUUGGACCACUUACAAACUUCUGGAGCCCCAGUUUCCUGAUCUGUGUGAUGUGGGCUAUAAUGACUCCUCAAGGGUUUGUUGGGCAAGUUUCUUGAAAACUCCUAAGUGCCACGCAGAUAUUACUGUGAAGCUCUUUGUGUCUUUGCUAGCCAAGCAGAAGACAGCAGCAACCACUCUGCUUUGUACAUAGAUGUUUGUUCUUCUCACUAUGGAGCCCCCAGCAUCUAGCACAGCUCUGAGUACACAGUAGGCAUAGAAAACUAUUUGUUAAAUAAAUGAACAGUGUCAUGGACUGAAUGCUUGUGUCUGCCCUCCAAAUUCACACGCUGAAAUUUUAACCCCAAGGUGAUGGUAUUAGGAGGGGAGACUUUGGGAGGUAAUUAGGUCAUGAAGGUGGAACCCAAGGGAAUGGAAUUAGUACCCUUAUAAAAUAUGAGACCCCAGAUUGGGCACGGUGGCUCACACCUGUAAUCCCAGCACUUUGGGAAGCUAAGGCGGGCGGAUCACCUGAGGUCAGGAGUUCAAGACCAGCCUAGGACCAACAUGGAGAAAGCCCAUCUCUACUAAAAAUACAAAAUUAGCUGGGCGUGGUGGUGCACACCUGUAAUCCCAGCCAGAUACUCGGGAGGCUGAAGCAGGAGAAUCGCUUGAACCCGGGAGGCGGAGGUUGCGGUAAGCCAAGAUCUCGCCAUUGCACUCCAGCCUGGGCAACAAGAGCGAAACUCUGUCUCAAAAAAAAAAAAGAAAGAAAAAAGAGACCCAAGGCUGGGCAUGGUGGCUCACGCCUAUAAUCCCAGCACUUUGGGAGGCUAAGGUGGGCAGGUCACUUGAGGUCAGGAGUUUGAGACCAGCCUGGCCAACAUGGAGAAACCCCAUCUCUACUAAAAAUACAAAAAUUAGCCGGGUAUGGUGGCGGGUGCCUGUAAUCCUAGCUACUCGGGGGGCUGAGGCAGGAGAAUUGCUUGAACCCAGGAAGCAGAGGUGUCAGUGAGCCGAGACUGUGCCACUGCACUCCACCCUGGGUGACAGAGUGAGGCUCUGUCAAAAAAAAAAGGAAAGAAAGAAAAAGAAAGAAAGGGAGAGUGAGAAAGAAAGAAGAGAAAGAAGAAAGAAAGAAGAGAAAGAAGAAAGAAGAGAAAGAAAGAAAAAGAAAGAAAGACCUCAGAGAGUUCUCUCACGCUCUUUCUGUCAUGUAAGCACACAGUGAGAAGCUAGUCAUCUGCAACCAGGAAACAAACCCUCACCAGAACAGGACCAUGCUGGCACCCUGAUCUCAGACUUCCAGCCUCCACAACUCUGAAAAAUAAAUGUCUGUUGUUGAUAAGCCACCCAGGCUAUUUACUGGUGCUUUGUUAUAGCAGCCCAAACUAAGACAGUGAGCUCAUAUCAAC